CUGGCGGAUGCUACCAUGCAAGUCGUACGAGAGUUUUUAACUCUAGUGGCGGACGGGUGAGUAACACGUGAGAAUUUGCCUUUAGGAGGGGGAUAACAAUUGGAAACGAAUGCUAAUACCCCAUAUGCUUCCGAGUGAAAUGGAUUUAUAUUUAUCCGCCUAGAGAGAAGCUCGCGGCUGAUUAGCUCGUUGGUAAGGUAAGAGCUUACCAAGGCGACGAUCAGUAUCUGGUUUGAGAGGACGAUCAGACACACUGGAACUGAGACACGGUCCAGACUCCUACGGGAGGCAGCAGUGGGGAAUUUUCCGCAAUGGGCGAAAGCCUGACGGAGCAAUACCGCGUGAGGGAAGACUGCCUAUGGGUUGUAAACCUCUUUUUUCAGGGAGGAAUAAAUGACGUGUACCUGAAGAAUAAGCAUCGGCUAACUCCGUGCCAGCAGCCGCGGUAAGACGGAGGAUGCAAGUGUUAUCCGGAAUCACUGGGCGUAAAGCGUCUGUAGGUGGUUUAAUAAGUCAACUGUUAAAUCUUGAGGCUCAACUUCAAAAUCGCAGUCGAAACUAUUAGACUAGAGUAUAGUAGAGGUAAAGGGAAUUUCCAGUGGAGCGGUGAAAUGCGUAGAUAUUGGAAAGAACACCGAUGGCGAAAGCACUUUACUGGGCUAUUACUAACACUCAGAGACGAAAGCUAGGGUAGCAAAUGGGAUUAGAUACCCCAGUAGUCCUAGCCGUAAACAAUGGAUACUAGAUGUUGAACAGAUCGACCUGUGCAGUAUCAAAGCUAACGCGUUAAGUAUCCCGCCUGGGAAGUAUGCUCGCAGGAGUGAAACUCAAAGGAGUGACGGGGGCCCGCACAGGCGGUGGGAGCAUGGUGGAUUAAUUUCGAUGCAACCGCGAAGAAACCUUAAC
rnacentral:rRNA from 1 species